GGUCUCAUAGUUCAAUGGAUAGAAUAGAAGUUUCCUAAACUUUUGAUGUGGGUUCGAUUCCCGCUGAGACCA
rnacentral:tRNA from 2 species